rnacentral:rRNA from 1 species
UACAGAGGGUGCAAGCGUUAAUCGGAAUUACUGGGCGUAAAGCGUGCGUAGACGGUUACAUAAGUCGGGUGUGAAAGCCCCGGGCUCAACCUGGGAAUUGCAUUCGAGACUGCGUAGCUAGGGUGCGGAAGAGGGAAGCGGGAAUUUCCGGGUGUAGCGGUGAAAUGCGUAGAUAUCGGAAGGAACACCAGUGGCGAAAGCGGCUUCCUGGUCCAGCACCGACGUCAGGCACGAAAGCGUGGGGAGCAAACAGG